rnacentral:rRNA from 1 species
GAUGAACGCUGGCGGCGUGCCUAGUACAUGCAAGUCGAGCGAAUGGAUUAAGAGCUUGCUCUUAUGAAGUUAGCGGCGGACGGGCGAGUAACACGUGGGUAACCUGCCCAUAAGACUGGGAUAACUCCGGGAAACCGGGGCUAAUACCGGAUAACAUUUUGAACCGCAUGGUUCGAAAUUGAAAGGCGGCUUCGGCUGUCACUUAUGGAUGGACCCGCGUCGCAUUAGCUAGUUGGUGAGGUAACGGCUCACCAAGGCAACGAUGCGUAGCCGACCUGGGAGGGUGAUCGGCCACACUGGGACUGAGACACGGCCCAGACUCCUACGGGAGGCAGCAGUAGGGAAUCUUCCGCAAUGGACGAAAGUCUGACGGAGCAACGCCGCGUGAGUGAUGAAGGCUUUCGGGUCGUAAAACUCUGUUGUUAGGGAAGAACAAGUGCUAGUUGAAUAAGCUGGCACCUUGACGGUACCUAACCAGAAAGCCACGGCUAACUACGUGCCAGCCGCCGCGGUAA